rnacentral:lncRNA from 1 species
AUGUACGAUGAAGAGGUGCCUGGACAGAGAGAUGUGAGAUGUGUAGCAGAGACCACACUCCCGGCACUGGUAGGAAGAACCAUCCGAUUUGUGCUGAGGGAUGUGUUCGUGGAACUGCAGCAGGUUUUCGGUGGAGGAGCCACACACGGCACACUUGUGGACCUUAAAAACAUUGAUUUUCAGCUUUUUCAGUGGUUGAGUGAUGGCUCCUCUGGGAGGCCUAAACUCCAGAACCGGUUUUUUCAGCUUCCACUUGGGACUGGGGACGAGCAGGCGUACACUUUCCUGAUGCCUUUGUGCUUGAUCCGGUUGUGCCGGCACAGGCUGUGGGACGAGCUGAAAGGCUUGUCACGCUGGCAGCAGGGGUGUUUCUUCACUUGCUUCCCGUGCUCCUGCCUCGCGUGGGAUGUGUACACAUCUCUCUGCAUGAACAGGCGGUCACACUCCCAACACGUCCACGCAGGCCUGGCCACUUUCUUCGUUUCCAUUGAUUUUUUCACAAGAGAUGGAGAUUUCUUUUCCAAUUUCUCUUUCCCAGUCAUGGAUUUAGUGUCCUCUUUGUUCUGAUUUGCUGAAUUUUGAGUUGCAGGCUUAAUGCUCAAAGGCAGGUUUAACCCCAAAUUUGGAGGUCCUUCAAUACUUUUCAAUGUGCCAUGCAUAGACUUGAUAUGGUCCAUCAUAAGUUGCUUCUGUGCAUAUAAAAGAGAACAGUCUGGACACUUGAAAACAGACGCCUUCUGGUUUUCAAUGUAUUGGUCAAAGUGGAGAUACAGCAGGGUUUGCAGGGUGAACACAGUGUUGCACAUGGAACACUUAUAUAUUAUUUUUGGUUCUCCUAUCUUGAUGCCAGGAUGCUGAAGGUAGGCGUGGGAAUGUGUGCUUGGGGCAGACUUAAACGCCACUGGACAAAUAAGACACUUGUAGAAGACUUCACCGUGAGAACCUUGAAUGUGAGACUUCAGAGCAGCCACAUCAGAGUACACAACAUUGCAAUGCACACAUUGAAAACCAACUCUUCUUGUGUAGUGCAGACAGUUCUUGGUGACAUGGGUCUGGAAAUGCACAGACCUGCAGAAGGCACCUGCACUCAGGGCAGGUGUAGGGAGAUUUGUGCUGAUGGAUUCUCCGGUGUGAUGCAUAACUGCAAUGGUUAGGAAGCAGCAUCUGGCAGACAGUGCAAGUCUUUUGUCCACUCGGAUCUGCAGCCUGCUGGAUAUGUGUAGCCAGUGUCGUUUUGUCCGGGAAGACUUCAUUACACUCCAAACAUUGUAGACUAUGUCCACACGGUUUGGAGGGGUCUUCAACUAGGGGCAUGGCUGGGGUGAUGGAAGUGCUUGAAGGAGCCGAUAUGACUGUCCCAGUUAUGCCAGACUGAAUUUUUGUGAGAGUGUGUGUGCCAGCUCCCACAGGGCUCUGAAGAGUGGAAGUUGAAGUGGAAGUAUUGCUUGAUGGAGAAACUAUCAUUUGAUCUACUGGGACUGGCUUUAAAAUUAAGUGGGAGCAUUGCAUUACCACCCCUUUCUCCUUAUGCCCACAGGCAUGGGAAAGGAGGCUGCAUUUGUUGUAAAAAACGAGGUUCUUUGUACAAUGGUUGCACGUUACUUCGAUGCGCAUGCUCCGUCUGUCGGAGUGCUGAGUCAGACUCUUUUCAAGUGCAAAGGAGUCCCCACACUCCAAGCACUUGUACCCAGGCAUCGGUAAUGUGAUCCCUGCAUUGGUGGGAGGACUGAGGUUUGGGAUGUAAACAGGGACUGGAUUGACACUGCUCAGCACCUUGCUGAAAGCUUCCACCACAGAACUCUGCAAGGACGACAUCACCUGGACUUGAGACACAUUUUUGGGGGGUUGAGAGGCUGCUGCAUUGAUUAUUGCCUGCUUUAUUUGUUGCUGAGGUUUGGUUAGCACUUGGUGGAGUUCAGAGGUGGCCUGGGCACCCUGAGGCAAAAGGUUAAGGUUGGCAAGGUGCACAGUCUUUGGCACUAGUUUGGCAUUGGCCAGGCUGGAUGCCAGCACCAUGACAGUUUACUGCUGGAUGGCGUUGGUGGCUUUAAUGAUGGCACUGCUGGUGCUCAGGACAGAGGCAGCAGAUAUGACCUUGACUUUCACCGUGGUGUUGUUAGCGAGCUUCAAAUUAAUGACUUGGGAUCCUGCCGUCUUCACAGUGGACACUGGGAGGAAAACAGUAGCCACAGGCUUGAUUGUGACCUGUUUGGGGGUGAGCUCUGCAGGGAAAACUGACCACGUGGUCAUGACCACGGACUGGAGAGGCGCCCUGGGGGGAGAGGAAAGGACAGCUUCUGAUGCUGGAGACGAAAGAAUGGAUGCCACAGAGGCUAUCAGGGAUGCCAUCUGCUCGGAAGGUUUCUUCCCAGAGUCAAGAUCCACUCUGGCAAUACCCUGGUCACUGUCCUCUUGAUUUCCCCAGAAGAUGUCUUAAUGGUUUUUAUGCAGACUUUGGGAAUUGCUGGUGUGGACCCUGCAGGAGAGGACGGGGAGCCCUUGCUGCUGUUCUCACUUGAGAUGCUUCUGGGACUAUCCGGUUGCUUUAGGGAUGGUUUUUGGUUUUUUUUGUUUUUUGGUCCCCUUGAUGAGAUUCUGGGAUUCAGGAGACUUGUCGGCUGCUCUCCGACUGUCUUUUAGUUCUUUUGGUAACAGGGAGGAUUCCAUCAAAUUGGCCACUGGUUCUUUGCAGGAGUCUGAAGCCGCCUUUUUAGCACUGAGAACUGUGAUGGCAGCGAUGCAGGACCAGAGCUUGGAGGAUGACUUUGUCUUCAUGGCGCAACGCCAGAGAGGCCGGUGUCAUUCUUAUUGGAGCUCACUUUCCCAUCCAGGACUCUGUUUUCCAGCAUUCUUUCAAUUUAUCCUCUGCUUUUCUGACUUUAAAAGGUUCAUAAACACUUAGGUUUAUAGAAUUGGCUUCUGCUUCUCUCUUAACAACUUUGUUUUCCUCCAUAUUGCCUGAUGUAGAGAGUCCCGUUUUGCUGGAGUUUUCCCCUCCGAGUGCCUUCAGCUUAUCGUAGCCCUGCCGGGGAGCUGACCCCGUCAACAGGUUGGACCUGCAGCUUAGCACGUCCUCCUUGUCAGGGGGUCAUCCACCUCCAUCUUCUCAUCGUCAUCAAACUCUUCAGCCCUGGAGAUCGGGCUAAACUGACUGAAUGUUGAGUCUUUCAGAGUCACCUCAGGGGCAGGCAUGUCUCCUUUCAAGGACUUCAUUCCAUCUUUACUGUAACUGUAAAGAUGGAGAACGCUGUGAGAAAUCCAUUAUGUAGGCCAUUGCCGGUGGGGUUAUGGCCGUCUUUCUCCCUGCCCUCGGAGGAGUGGAUGUUCCCAAUAUUCUUGAUGAUAACGCUGACACCCACGUCGGAAGAUGAUGGUGCUGGGCAUCAUCCUCUCCAUGAGCGUUCUGCUUCAUGUGACUUUUCAUGGUCAUUGUGUCCAGACUCAGUAGCUGCUUUAGGAUCGACCAUAUCUGGGAUGUCAAAUGCUGCCAAGAGGUCAUCAAAGUCUGGGGUCUUCAUAUCCCCCAUGGUCAUGAAUUUGAGCAGAUGUUCUUGUGAACCUUGACCUUUUGGAAAGACUUUAGACCUAUGUUCAGUUACUGUCACAGGGCUGCAUUCUCAACAAAUAGGAAAGGGUUAAAAGCAGACCCAGUCAACAGGCCUUUUGGCCUUCAUAAUAGUCAGAAGCAUCCCCAACACUCUUUAGUAGCGUCUGAAAGAAAAACCACAAAACAGAACAUACCCGCCUUCCCCGGGUUGGCCUUCGCGGCGGUCAAGCCCGGGCGUCUGGGCCGUAGCUCCUAUGACCUUUGUUCACUGCAGCGCCGCUGGCGGCUGCUGCUGUGGCUGCUGCUGCUGUCGUCGGAGCGGCGGCGGCGGCGGGGGUGGCUUCCAUGUUACGGGCGUGUCAUCUGCCUUCCUGCUGCCGGGGUCUGUGUGUGCGUGUGCGGUGGAGCGGCCUCGCCGAGCGCCUGGCCCGGGCACCGCGCUUCCCGUAGCACCGCGCUCUAGGCCUAUGGCUGGAGGUGCGGGCCCGGGCGGCGGCAGCGGCCGUAAAAUGAGAAUUUUUAGACUGGGAAAUCCCCAUGGACUCUUCCAACCCUGACAGUCUGUGGUUCUGCAAAGUAAUAAUGAUGGUGCUGGUAAUGGUGAUAAUGGUGGUGAUGGUGAUGUUGGUACUGAUUGUGUUGGUGGUGAUGGUGAGUGAUAAUACUGGUUGUAAAGGUGGUGAUGGUAAUGAUGGUGACGGUGAUGGUAGUGAUGAUGACGGUGGUGAUGGUGGUGGUGGUAAUGGUGGUAGUAACAGUGGGUUAUGGUGAUGACUGAGUAUUAUAGUCGUAAAUGUCGUAAUCGUCGUAAUCAUUAAAUAUGUAAGUGAUAAAGAGUAAUGUAAAGUAUGAUAAUAAAAUAAA